rnacentral:rRNA from 1 species
UGGGGAAUUUUGGACAAUGGGCGAAAGCCUGAUCCAGCCAUUCCGCGUGCAGGACGAAGGCCUUCGGGUUGUAAACUGCUUUUGUACGGAACGAAAAGGCGCUUUCUAAUACAGGGCGCUCAUGACGGUACCGUAAGAAUAAGCACCGGCUAACUACGUGCCAGCAGCCGCGGUAAUACGUAGGGUGCAAGCGUUAAUCGGAAUUACUGGGCGUAAAGCGUGCGCAGGCGGUGAUGUAAGACAGUUGUGAAAUCCCCGGGCUCAACCUGGGAACUGCAUCUGUGACUGCAUCGCUGGAGUGCGGCAGAGGGGGAUGGAAUUCCGCGUGUAGCAGUGAAAUGCGUAGAUAUGCGGAGGAACACCGAUGGCGAAGGCAAUCCCCUGGGCCUGCACUGACGCUCAUGCACGAAAGCGUGGGGAGCAAACAGG